rnacentral:rRNA from 1 species
UGGGGAAUAUUGCGCAAUGGGGGAAACCCUGACGCAGCAACGCCGCGUGAGUGAUAAGAAGGUUUUCGGAUUGUAAACUCCUGUCCUUAGGGACGAUAAUGACGGUACCUAAGGAGGCAGCACCGGCUAACUACGUGUAAGCANCCGCGGUAAUACGUAGGGAGC